UACGUAGGGGGCAAGCGUUGUCCGGAAUCAUUGGGCGUAAAGCGCGCGUAGGCGGCCCUGUAAGUCCGUUGUGAAAGUCAAAGGCUCAACCUUUGAAAGCCGAUGGAUACUGCAGGGCUAGAGUCCGGAAGAGGCGAGUGGAAUUCCUGGUGUAGCGGUGGAAUGCGCAGAUAUCAGGAAGAACACCUGCGGCGAAGGCGGGUUGCUGGGCCGACACUGACGCUGAGGCGCGAAAGCUAGGGGAGCGAACGGG
rnacentral:rRNA from 1 species